CUUAGCUAUGAGCUCACAUUUGCCAAUGUAGUGUUCCAGACAGUUUUAUCAUCCACAUUGCUGACCUGGAAGAUGCAUCAUUGUCUAUGAUAUCUGCAAUGGAAAUGAUCACUAGGCAAUUUCAGCCUUGCAAAUCUAACUGUGGCGUGUGGAAAGAAGAGGAACCAGAAAAGAAUGUUUGUGAAGUUCUGGCUUGAAUCUCGUGCCGGGAGUGUGAAGAAGGUCCUUGCUUCCCCUUCACCUUCUGCCAUGAUUCUAAGUUUCCUGACGCCUCCCAGCCGUGCUUCCUGUUAAGCCUGUGAAACUCCUUUGGAAUGAGUACACAUCCAGGAGUGAAGAAGACAAGCUCAACUGCCAUUCUCUGAGCAGUUCAAGGCAUACUGAGUUGCGGGAGUUGUGUGGUGGUCCACUCUGACUGCAAGCACCCCUUUCUUGAACCGAACAGAGUCAAGUGGAAUCAAAGGACAUUACCUGUUGAUUCUUGGGCAAGGCCCAGAAUUUGGUGGACAUACUUAAAGAAGAAAGGAAUCUUCAGCUAAAGUGUCUACGAUCAAUUCAGAUUUGGAGGGCAUGGAUCUUCUGACAGUAGGGGCCAUUCUAGGAUUUUUUGGUUGAAGAGAUGAACUUCAACUUGGUUCCAGAUGGGUGGUCCAGCUAUUCUGCUGACAACAUUUUUCAGGGCAAGGCUUUUGCUACUGGAAUGAUUUAAGGAAGAUCCCUCAGUGUUUCAGAGUAAAGAUAUUUCUAAAGAAGUACCUGUGUCAUUGCCCAUCUUGAAGAUUGACUUUUAUGGAUUGCUCAAAUACUGAUAUCAGCUCAAUGUCAAUAUAUACUCCUACAUAUAAAAUCCAUCUUCUAAUCAUAAUCACUAGGUAAGAUGCUAGUGCAAGUUGAAGUUCUUAAAGGAGAUGACCUGAACAGCCUUCUUAGUGUACCAGGGAGACCAGAUUGAGUUUAAACUAUGUUUACCCUGCACUCAGACACGCCUAGGUGUGUCUGGGAGAUUAGUAGAUGGUGUUCAACAAGGAUCUAUUUAAACAAGGGAGACAUUAAUUUGGAUUCCUUUGGUUGUAAAUUUCCAAAAAAAAAAAAAAGGUCUAAGUUAAAAUGUUUAAGGAGGAUGGGGGAAGAAUGUGAUGACUGUUAUAGUUAAUGUGAGCUUUAGGCUUGGCCGGAUCCAGGUACUAAAACAAUGUUAUUAGAUAAUAAAUCUAAUUAAAUAUAAUCUAAAUUUCCAUCUCGACUCUGCUUAACCCUGUUGGACUGCAAGUUAAUGGUAAAAUGAGCAUCCAUCACAUUCACCAUUCCACUUG
rnacentral:lncRNA from 1 species